AGUCGAACGAGAUCUUCGGAUCUAGUGGCGCACGGGUGCGUAACGCGUGGGAAUCUACCCUUGGGUUCGGAAUAACAGUUGGAAACGACUGCUAAUACCGGAUGAUGACGAAAGUCCAAAGAUUUAUCGCCCAGGGAUGAGCCCGCGUAGGAUUAGCUAGUUGGUGAGGUAAAGGCUCACCAAGGCUACGAUCCUUAGCUGGUCUGAGAGGAUGAUCAGCCACACUGGGACUGAGACACGGCCCAGACUCCUACGGGAGGCAGCAGUAGGGAAUAUUGGACAAUGGGGGCAACCCUGAUCCAGCAAUGCCGCGUGAGUGAUGAAGGCCUUAGGGUUGUAAAGCUCUUUUACCCGAGAUGAUAAUGACAGUAUCGGGAGAAUAAGCUCCGGCU
rnacentral:rRNA from 1 species